UUUGUUCGAGAGAUGGUAUGAUCAAUGAAAAUAACGCAUUAAAUAAACAAGUCAAGAACAGUAUUGUGUAAUUGUCGGGCUGACUAUUGCUUAGACAGGCAGAUUAACAGAAUCGUUUCACAUAAGAUAGAAGUGUGUGUAUGUUCUCAGAUUUACGAUGAAAUCAUUCCUGUUUAUAUUGAUGACCAUUAUUCUAUUGGAACAUCUUGGAAACCAUUUGGUGGCAGGAGUAGGAUGUGCCAGUAUUGGGUGGGGAGGGUGUGCUGAUUAUGGAUGCUAUAAAUCUGGAGGUCACUGCAUAAACUAUGGAAGAAGACCAAAGAACAGAUGCCGAUGUGUUAGACGUGGAAUCAAUGAAAAAUGGAUGAAGGAGACUACGAACGUGCUAGAAUUCUUUCAAGUUAUAAUGGAUACAAAGGAAAAUGAUCCUUAAUUUCACUCUAGGAAAUUGACUAUUGACCCAACAGAAAAAAAAAACAAAUUCACCGUUUCUUUAUGUAAUGUCUAAUCUCUCUCUUAUCCAUUGACAUUUGUAGCCGUUAUAAACAAAUGCAUUUAUUAUACCAGAAUUUUGGCAAACAUAAUUAAUUUGUAUCUUCAAUUUCAAUGAAUUCUAUUAUAAAAGUC